CGGCGUGCUUAACACAUGCAAGUCGAACGGAAAGGCCCUGCUUUUGUGGGGUGCUCGAGUGGCGAACGGGUGAGUAACACGUGAGUAACCUGCCCUUGACUUUGGGAUAACUUCAGGAAACUGGGGCUAAUACCGGAUAGGAGCUCCUGCUGCAUGGUGGGGGUUGGAAAGUUUCGGCGGUUGGGGAUGGACUCGCGGCUUAUCAGCUUGUUGGUGGGGUAGUGGCUUACCAAGGCUUUGACGGGUAGCCGGCCUGAGAGGGUGACCGGCCACAUUGGGACUGAGAUACGGCCCAGACUCCCACGGGAGGCAGCAGUGGGGAAUAUUGCACAAUGGGCGGAAGCCUGAUGCAGCAACGCCGCGUGCGGGAUGACGGCCUUCGGGUUGUAAACCGCUUUCGCCUGUGACGAAGCGUGAGUGACGGUAAUGGGUAAAGAAGCACCGGCUAACUACGUGCCAGCAGCCGCGGUGAUACGUAGGGUGCGAGCGUUGUCCGGAUUUAUUGGGCGUAAAGGGCUCGUAGGUGGUUGAUCGCGUCGGAAGUGUAAUCUUGGGGCUUAACCCUGAGCGUGCUUUCGAUACGGGUUGACUUGAGGAAGGUAGGGGAGAAUGGAAUUCCUGGUGGAGCGGUGGAAUGCGCAGAUAUCAGGAGGAACACCAGUGGCGAAGGCGGUUCUCUGGGCCUUUCCUGACGCUGAGGAGCGAAAGCGUGGGGAGCGAACAGGCUUAGAUACCCUGGUAGUCCACGCUGUAAACGGUGGGUACUAGGUGUGGGGUCCAUUCCACGGGUUCCGUGCCGUAGCUAACGCUUUAAGUACCCCGCCUGGGGAGUACGGCCGCAAGGCUAAAACUCAAAGGAAUUGACGGGGCCCCGCACAAGCGGCGGAGCAUGCGGAUUAAUUCGAUGCAACGCGUAGAACCUUACCUGGGUUUGACAUGGAUCGGGAGUGCUCAGAGAUGGGUGUGCCUCUUUUGGGGUCGGUUCACAGGUGGUGCAUGGCUGUCGUCAGCUCGUGUCGUGAGAUGUUGGGUUAAGUCCCGCAACGAGCGCAACCCUUGUUCACUGUUGCCAGCACGUUAUGGUGGGGACUCAGUGGAGACCGCCGGGGUCAACUCGGAGGAAGGUGGGGAUGACGUCAAGUCAUCAUGCCCCUUAUGUCCAGGGCUUCACGCAUGCUACAAUGGCUGGUACAGAGAGUGGCGAGCCUGUGAGGGUGAGCGAAUCUCGGAAAGCCGGUCUCAGUUCGGAUUGGGGUCUGCAACUCGACCUCAUGAAGUCGGAGUCGCUAGUAAUCGCAGAUCAGCAACGCUGCGGUGAAUACGUUCCCGGGGCUUGUACACACCGCCCGUCAAGUCAUGAAAGUUGGUAACACCCGAAGCCGGUGGCCUAACCGUUGUGGGGGAGCCGUCGAAGGUGGGACUGGUGAUUAGGACUAA
rnacentral:rRNA from 1 species